UACAGAGGGGGCUAGCGUUGUUCGGAAUUACUGGGCGUAAAGGGCGCGUAGGCGGCCUUCUAAGUCGAACGUGAAAUCCCCGGGCUCAACCCGGGAACUGCGUCCGAUACUGGAUGGCUUGAGUUGGGAGAGGGAUGCGGAAUUCCAGGUGUAGCGGUGAAAUGCGUAGAUAUCUGGAGGAACACCGAUGGCGAAGGCAGCUCGCUGGGACGGUACUGACGCUGAGACGCGAAAGCGUGGGGAGCAAACAGG
rnacentral:rRNA from 1 species